AUUGAACGCUGGCGGCAUGCCUUACACAUGCAAGUCGAACGGUAACAGGUCUUCGGAUGCUGACGAGUGGCGAACGGGUGAGUAAUGUAUCGGAACGUGCCCAGUCGUGGGGGAUAACGUAGCGAAAGCUACGCUAAUACCGCAUACGAUCUGUGGAUGAAAGCGGGGGACCGUAAGGCCUCGCGCGAUUGGAGCGGCCGAUAUCAGAUUAGGUAGUUGGUGGGGUAAAGGCCUACCAAGCCGACGAUCUGUAGCUGGUCUGAGAGGACGACCAGCCACACUGGGACUGAGACACGGCCCAGACUCCUACGGGAGGCAGCAGUGGGGAAUUUUGGACAAUGGGCGCAAGCCUGAUCCAGCAAUGCCGCGUGCAGGAUGAAGGCCUUCGGGUUGUAAACUGCUUUUGUACGGAGCGAAAAGGCUCUCUCUAAUACAGGGGGCUCAUGACGGUACCGUAAGAAUAAGCACCGGCUAACUACGUGCCAGCCGCCGCCGUAA
rnacentral:rRNA from 1 species